AUUGAACGCUGGCGGCAUGCCUUACACAUGCAAGUCGAACGGCAGCACGGGGCAACCUGGUGGCGAGUGGCGAACGGGUGAGUAAUGCAUCGGAACGUACCUUUCAGUGGGGGAUAACGUAGCGAAAGUUACGCUAAUACCGCAUAUUCUGUGAGCAGGAAAGCAGGGGAUCGCAAGACCUUGCGCUGAUUGAGCGGCCGAUGUCAGAUUAGCUAGUUGGUGAGGUAAAGGCUCACCAAGGCGACGAGCUGAAGCGGGUCUGAGAGGAUGAUCCGCCACACUGGAACUGAGACACGGUCCAGACUCCUACGGGAGGCAGCAGUGGGGAAUUUUGGACAAUGGGGGCAACCCUGAUCCAGCCAUGCCGCGUGAGUGAAGAAGGCCUUCGGGUUGUAAAGCUCUUUCGGCCGGGAAGAAAUCGCACGGGCUAAUACCCUGUGUGGAUGACGGUACCGGAAUAAGAAGCACCGGCUAACUACGUGCCAGCAGCCGCCGUAACAC
rnacentral:rRNA from 1 species